rnacentral:rRNA from 1 species
UAACCUGCCCAAGAGAUCGGGAUAACACCUGGAAACAGAUGCUAAUACCGGAUAACAACAGAUGAUGCCUAUCAACUGUUUAAAAGAUGGUUCUGCUAUCACUCUUGGAUGGACCUGCGGUGCACUAGCUAGUUGGUAGGGUAACGGCCUACCAAGGCGAUGAUGCAUAGCCGAGUUGAGAGACUGAUCGGCCACAUUGGGACUGAGACACGGCCCAAACUCCUACGGGAGGCAGCAGUA